GCUCUGUCUUUGAGUUCCAUUUUGGUCUACGAUAGAAUUUUCAUGGAACGAUCGCAAAUUGAGUCAUUGUACGAGGAUUUACAUGAUUGAUCACUAUGGUAUUUAAGUACACUCCAAGAUAUAUACUUUACUCUUUGUUUACAACUUUCGAUCGAGAACUUUACGAGUAACACAUAAUAUAAAUACAUACAGUAGAACACAACGUGUGAAUAUGUGAUACUACUUACUCUUUUUAACCAACUUAAGGUUUAAUAUACCUAGAGUAACUCAAAGUGAAAUGCUAGUUAACUAACUUGUUAUAUAUUAGAAAAUGAAACCUUGGCAGACUAUUUCUUAAAUUGUGAAGCUUUUCAUGAAGUGACAUCUUAAAAACUAGAUUAAUUAGUGGGAUAUCCCUAUAGAUUCCGAUUUCGUUAGUAAUAUUUCUAUUAGAACAUUCAAGAUUUAACUUGAUUAUACUGAAAUUGGCAGAAAAUUGAUGUUAUCAUCAUUUUGGAUAGAAAUUGUUUUAAUUUAUUUUGAAAAACAAAUAAAUAAAACAGAAAAAGUAUUGGUGGAAUUGUUUUUGCUUAAAAAACCUUUGAAGGCAUAAACUUAUGGUUCAUCAAUUGGUUUUUAGGCCAAACAUAUACAUGCAAGUUAGAGUCUUCAAGCAAGAUUCUCCUUUUUCUAAUAUUAGCCAUGAGUACAUAAAAUGAAGAAACUUGAUAAAAUGUAGAGUUAAUGGUCAAAACUAUACACAUCCAUUAAAUUUGCCUCACAAGAAAAAUAAACAAGUAAAUAAAGAAAAUGAAAUCUUCAUCUCACCAUUCUUUUACCGUUGGAACCCAGGGAGAGUACAGAAGAAGUUGGACUUGAUCUGUCUUUGAGUUCCAUUUUGGUCUACGAUAGAAUUUUCAUGGAACGAUCGCAAAUUGAGUCAUUGUACGAGGAUUUACAUGAUUGAUCACUAUGGUAUUUAAGUACACUCCAAGAUAUAUACUUUACUCUUUGUUUACAACUUUCGAUCGAGAACUUUACGAGUAACACAUAAUAUAAAUACAUACAGUAGAACACAACGUGUGAAUAUGUGAUACUACUUACUCUUUUUAACCAACUUAAGGUUUAAUAUACCUAGAGUAACUCAAAGUGAAAUGCUAGUUAACUAACUUGUUAUAUAUUAGAAAAUGAAACCUUGGCAGACUAUUUCUUAAAUUGUGAAGCUUUUCAUGAAGUGACA
rnacentral:lncRNA from 1 species